rnacentral:rRNA from 1 species
GACGAACGCUGGCGGCGUGCUUAACACAUGCCAGUCGAACGGAAAGGCCCUGCUCUUGUGGGGUGCUCGAGUGGCGAACGGGUGAGUAACACGUGAGUAACCUGUCCUUGACUUUGGGAUAACUUCAGGAAACUGGGGCGAUUACCGCAUAGGAGCUCCUGCUGCAUGGUGGGGGUUGGAAAGUUUCGGCGGUUGGGGAUGGACUCGCGGCUUAUCCGCUUGUUUGUGAGGUAGUGGCUUACCAAGGCUUUGACGGGUAGCCGGCCUGAGAGGGUGACCGGCCACAUUGGGACUGAGAGACGGACCAGACGCCUACGGGAGGCAGCAGUGGGGAAUAUUGCACAAUGGGCGGAAGCCUGAUGCAGCAGCGCCGCGUGCGGGAUGACGGGCUUCGGGUUGUGAACCGCUUUCGCCUGUGACGAAGAGUGAGUGACGGUAAUGGGUAAAGAAGCACCGGCUAACUACGUG